rfam:Fusarium poae strain 2516 chromosome FPOA_2 Chr2, whole genome shotgun sequence.
GGUCCUAUAGUCUAGUGGUCAGGACGUUGGAUUUUGAUAGCCAUCAAAUCUUUCCGAAAGCCCCGGUUCGAACCCGGGUAGGACCU